rnacentral:rRNA from 1 species
GAUAAACGCUGGCGGCGCACAUAAGACAUGCAAGUCGAACGGACGACUUUGAUUUGUUUUACUUAUCAAAGAAGUUAGUGGCGGACUGGUGAGUAACACGUAAGCAAUCUGCCUACAAGAGGGGAACAACAGUGAGAAAUCACUGCUAAUACCGCAUAAGCUAACAGCUUCGCAUGAAGUAGUUAGAAAAGGAGCAAUCCGCUUGUAGAUGAGCUUGCGCCUGAUUAGCUAGUUGGUGUGGUAACGGCAUACCAAGGCAACGAUCAGUAGCUGUGCUGAGAGGCAGAACAGCCACAUUGGGACUGAGAUACGGCCCAGACUCCUACGGGAGGCAGCAGUCGGGAAUAUUGCACAAUGGAGGAAACUCUGAUGCAGUGACGCCGCGUAUAGGAAGAAGGUUUCGGAUUGUAAACUAUUGUAGUACAGGGAAGAAUCAAGACAGU